CUAACGGCAGCUCCGUCUUGGGGAUACACUUAGUGCCUCCUAUGAUGAUCCUCCACUGAGAGGCGGAGACAGAGAGCACUUCGAGCAGGUGUCGACGGAAACCCUCGAGCUGAGAGAGGCCGAUCCUGAGGACGUACAAAUCACUUAUGGAACGGCGUCUCGUAAACCUACGACAACAACAACAACAACACAGGUUAUUAUUCAUCACCUGACUGUUGGCACCAUGAGGACGGAGGCGCCGCUCUGUGCAGCUCA